GCCGGUGGAAGCAGCAGGGCGCUCAUUUCUACAAGUCUUGGUUAUGGAUGGCUUACCCAGCUUGGUCUUUCUACCUUCCCCCAAAAGGUUGGUUUGGAAUGACUCAUCAUUCCUAAAAUCUAUUUAUUCUUACACAAGGAUAAUUUGCCACCAUUAAGAAGGGACCCAAGAACAUAAUUCUCAAAAUAUUUCCCAAAUUAUUUUGAAGAAUGGUAACCUCUCUGGGAUAUCUUUAGAUUCUACAGAAGUACCCACUCAUGUGUAUGUCUUUGUUCGGCUGUUUAAAAUCCAGGCAUACAAAAUACCCCGCGACCUGGCUUCAGUCCGUCCCAACGUUGGGGAGCACAGUACUCAGUUUCCCACACAAAGUUAGGUUGGUGGUUAGAUCCAGAGAGGGCUCUCCCGAAGCUAAACAAGGCUGCUAACUACUAACUUCUCUUUUUCCAGCAUUCUCAUAUUGAGGGAUUAGUGGAGCCAGUCAGGGCAGGGGGUCACUGUUAAGGAAGACAUCUAAUAAUUAGAGGGCUCGACCAGUAAUCCAAAUUGGCGUUAUCAACGGCAGAGCUGGUGAAGUAUUCAGAGUAUUAGGUCUCCCGCAGCAGAGAUUUUAAUGCAAAUAGUCCUGAAAAAUAGUCAUGUUAACUGGCUAUCUAAGGUUUACCUUGUAAACACGUGGGUCUUACAGAUCACGAACUCUAAUAAGUUCAAGCGUGAACCAAACUCAUAACCACAGAAGCGUUGCUGCCCGAGACUGCCCUCAACAAAGAUGUCCCCAUAUUGCCGUCGCCCUGCCCCCGCUCCUGUGCGUGAGCCUCACGUCCGCCCUUCCCUGCGUCACAUGACUACGAACCUGCCUCAGCUACGGCUCCCGGCAAGGGCCAGCCCCGGCCGUUCUCCCGUCUCUGCCGGCCCUCUGCGGGCCGUUCCGGCCGGUUCUUUGCCCGGGCGCCUCAGUGCGCUCGGCCAACGGCCUUUGGGAGCGCCCACCCGAACGCCCCGGGAGCCGGCGGCGCCGGGGACCCACCCUCCAGCGGGUCCAGAGAAGCUGGGAGGCCGGAGGAGGAAAGCUCGGGCACCCGUCCGUCCGCCGAGCCUCUGACCUUCGCCUGCAGGACGAGGACCCUUGGAUGGUGCAGGAACACCCUGGGCCACGUCCUACAGCGUUAGAGUAAGGGGCGCUCUCUAGGUGUGAGGACCCUUUCCAAGUGGUGACAUCUUUUCAGGGCAGAGCCAGUUAUAUUCAGGUCUCCCAUCCACUGAGAGACGUGACCUGAAGGACCUUAAAUGUUUUCUCUCCCUAGAUGAAAAACAUUUGUUUCUGUGUCAGUUUCGUCGGCUGAGAUCCCACAGGAAAAACCCUCAGGAAAAUGGAUUUGGAAAGAAUUAGAAUGACUUAGUUGUACUUAGUUUAGUAGUCUUCUCCCCGUGUAAUUAAAUUACGUGUAGGACCUGCUAUCUUUUUGGUUUCAAACACUUGGGAAUUGGUUUUGCUAUUCUUUCCAAAAGGAAAUUGUGUGUUCUAUCCCUUCCUGUCUGAUAGGGCUGCCUCCUUUUAGGAUUACAAAGUUUAGCAGUUGCUUUCCUCCCUUCUGUUCAAACUUGCUUUCUGUGGAUUCAUAACCUUAUUUUAAAAUUUGUGGAUUUCUGUUUUUUAUGUUUUGGGUGACUUUUCUUUCAAAACUACAAUUAAUCCUGGCUUGCUACACCCUGAUUUGCCAGUGCACCAAAUUUUUAAGUAUAGUUGCUAGGAAAGAGAACAGAAACAGGGUGACCUAUAUAAAAACCUUGAACUAGGACUACGCAAUAAGUGAUAAAGAACCGGACCUUUUUUUUUUUUUUUUUUUUUUUAGAAUUGGAGAGUUAUGUAAAUCUUUGCAACCACAAUCAAUUUGACCCAAGUUGUUUCUGCGACUUCCAGGACUAUUUCUCUGGGUUCCAGUAUUGUAAUAUAGAAAAUAAGAAAGUCAAGCUUGAAUCAUUGUGUCCCAAAUUUUGGACACUUUCCAGAAGUGGAAUUAGACUUGAUUCUAGAUAGUAUAUAGAUAGGGUUUUUUUUUUUUUCAGUUAUGUUUUUGUUACAUGUAUUUCUGUAUUUAUGGUUUAAGGUAGUGAUGUAAAGUUUCCUUUUAAAAUACAUUUAAGAUGUUUAAAAGUUGAGUUAAAAAAUUAAAUUUAGGUAAGUAAAUGCACUGUGGGAGUGUGGGAAAUACUAUAAAACUGGUAAAUUAUUGUUGUUAGGGAGCUCGGAGGCUUAGAAAUUAGAGGUCUAAGAUCAUCUGUGAUUCCGAGAGAGAUUUUGUCUCCUUAAUUAUAUGACAGAGAAUCAUGUACUGGUUGCCUAGUAGAUUCUAAUGGCAGAAUCUCUGGAAUUAAUAUCUUAACUCCAAAUGAAAAGUUUAUUUUAUGUUUUGCCAAAAGAUAAUACCAGAAAUGCUACAGUUUAAUGAGGGAGGAAAAAAGAUAGAUUCUGAUCUAAUUAGGACAGUAUAAUGUUCUAUCUUAGAAAAGUGCCAUUUUUUAAAUUUAAGUAGCUCAAAUAGGCUACAGGAGAAUUUGGCUUUUUCUAGAAGUUGUCUUUUCAGCAUCUAUCUUUAUGAUCUAAGUCUGUGAUAUUUACAGACAGAGAGAUUCUCACAAGACAAGAUGUUGCUAUAGAAUGAAAUUUUGACACUCAUGGGAUGUAUUGGUAGAAAGUCAAUAAAAAGAUUGAAAUGCAGUAAAUGGAGUGGGGAGAAUAGCACAUUUCAGGGAGAUAAUGUUCUGAUUGUGUCCCUUGUUUAUUAUUAAAACUUCAAUUUAUAAUGUCCCAAGGCUAUAAUUGUUUAGAGAUACCUCUUUUCAGUAUCAUAUCUGAAUAUAAGCUUUUGUUGUGCUUCAUCUACACACAAGUAUUGGAAGAGUUUCUCCUUUAGAAAGAGGCACAAAAAUUAUAAUAGAGAUUGCCUGUGGGGACCUAGGUGGUUAUAGAAUAGGGUUUAAUGGGACACUGUGUUUUCUCUGAAUGUUCUUGUGUGCUUUGUACCAUGUGCAUAUAUUACUGGUUCGAAUUCAAAUACUGAAUGAAAGUUGUGAAUAAAAUAAAUAUGAAAUUAAAGUAAGUAUUGCGUGAAAAUUGCUGAAUGAAAAUUUAGCCAAAAUGCAUCUGUUCCUCCAUAUACACACAAGUAUUGAGUCUUUCAAAACUUAAAUUUUUCAUCUGUCACAUCUUUCUAAGUUCAAUUCAGAAAUGAUGACAGUUCCUUAUUUUAUCUUGGAUUAACUAAUGAAUGGUUGUAGGUCCCUGUCUAUGGGACUAAAAUUGGUAGUAAGCUUGUUAAUUUUUUCUUUCUGUAUUGUAUUGGUUUCUUAAUGUAAGGUUGUGUAUCUUUGGUGACAUCAUUUAGAGGAUUGCCAGCAAUGAAUCCCUAAUGUUGGUAUCAUGUAGGUUUUCAAUUAG
rnacentral:lncRNA from 1 species